rnacentral:rRNA from 1 species
GGAGWCGAAGAAGGCCUUCGGCGUUGUAAAGCCCUUUUGCUGGGAAAGAAAAGCAGCCAYRUUAAUACCUGGUUGUUCUGACGGUACCCAAAGAAUAAGCACCGGCUAACUUCGUGCCAGCAGCCGCGGUAAUACGAAGGGUGCAAGCGUUACUCGGAAUUACUGGGCGUAAAGCGUGCGUAGGUGGUUGUUUAAGUCUGUUGUGAAAGCCCUGGGCUCAACCUGGGAAUUGCAGUGGAUACUGGGCGACUAGAGUGUGGUAGAGGGUAGUGGAAUUCCUGGUGUAGCAGUGAAAUGCGUAGAGAUCAGGAGGAACAUCCAUGGCGAAGGCAGCUACCUGGACCAACACUGACACUGASGCACGAAAGCGUGGGGAGCAAACAGGAUUAGAUACCCUGGUAGUCCACGCCCUAAACGAUGCGAACUGGAUGUUGGGUGCAAUUUGGCACGCAGUAUCGAAGCUAACGCGUUAAGUUCGCCGCCUGGGGAGUAMGGUCGCAAGACUG